rnacentral:tRNA from 1 species
GCUGGUGUAGUUUAGGUAGGUAGAAUGCCGGUUUCGUACUCCGGGGACAUCGGUGCAACUCCGAUCGCCAGCU